rnacentral:lncRNA from 1 species
AAAAAUAAUGUAAACUACAAACGAAUGUAAACUAAGUAAAACUAGUAGAGCCCCCCGGUAUGAGGAGGAUCACCGGGCGUGUGACGCCCCCAAAAUUAGGUAUACAUCACCUAUCUUGAGUCGCCAGAUACAUGUUACAGAAUUCAAAUACAACUUAAUAAUACAACUGUCGUGUACAAUACGACAAAAUAUAAACUGUGAGUUUGAAUACAAAUAUUGUCUGCUAGAGA